rnacentral:rRNA from 1 species
GACGAACGCUGGCGGCGUGCUUAACACAUGCAAGUCGAACGAUGAACCCGGAGCUUGCUCCGGCGGAUUAGUGGCGAACGGGUGAGUAACACGUGAGUAACCUGCCCUUGACUCUGGGAUAACUGCGGGAAACUGUAGCUAAUACCGGAUACGACCCUCGGCGGCAUCGCCAGGGGGUGGAAAGAAGCUCGGUCAAGGAUGGACUCGCGGCCUAUCAGCUAGUUGGUGAGGUAACGGCUCACCAAGGCGACGCCGGGUAGCCGGCCUGAGAGGGUGACCGGCCACACUGGGACUGAGACACGGCCCAGACUCCUACGGGAGGCAGCAGUGGGGAAUAUUGCACAAUGGGCGCAAGCCUGAUGCAGCAACGCCGCGUGAGGGAUGACGGCCUUCGGGUUGUAAACCUCUUUUAGUAGGGAAGAAGCGAAAGUGACGGUACCUGCAGAAAAAGCACCGGCUAACUACGUGCCAGCCGCCGCAGUAA